ACCGCAUAUUCUGUGAGCGGGAAAGCAGGGGAUCGCAAGACCUUGCGCUGAUUGAGCGGCCGAUGUCAGAUUAGCUAGUUGGUGAGGUAAAGGCUCACCAAGGCGACGAUCUGUAGCGGGUCUGAGAGGAUGAUCCGCCACACUGGAACUGAGACACGGUCCAGACUCCUACGGGAGGCAGCAGUGGGGAAUUUUGGACAAUGGGCGCAAGCCUGAUCCAGCCAUGCCGCGUGAGUGAAGAAGGCCUUCGGGUUGUAAAGCUCUUUCGGCCGGGAAGAAAUCGCAUGGGUUAAUACCCUGUGUGGAUGACGGUACCGGAAUAAGAAGCACCGGCUAACUACGUG
rnacentral:rRNA from 1 species